rnacentral:misc_RNA from 1 species
GCUUCAGCUCUUGCUAUAUGCAUGCGUUAAUUUCUUCGUUUUUGCAUGCCGUGCAUUAUUUGGUCUACUUAUUUGAUAUGUUUGGGUGUUAGAGCUUGUUGCGUUGUUCUUCAUGAAUCUCUGCUUCGAUCUGUAUAUAUGAGAACUUGGAAUUUUUCUUUGAUUUCCGGAUUUCUUAUGAGAUGACAACUAAACAAUAAGCAUGCAUGUUGUCUCUCAUCUCUUAUGAGACUGAGUAUUGCCUCUGCAUGUAUG